AGGAAUUGGCGGGGGAGCACCACGAGGGGUGAAGCCUGCGGUUCAAUUGGAGUCAACGCCGGAAAUCUUACCGGGGGCGACAGCAGUGUGAAGGUCAAGCUGAAGACUUUACUCGACAAGCUGAGAGGAGGUGCAUGGCCGUCGCCAGCUCGUGCCGUGAGGUGUCCUGUUAAGUCAGGUAACGAGCGAGACCCCUACCGCUAGUUGCUAUCGCUACUCUCAGGAGUGGCGGGGCUAAUUAGUGGGACCGCCGCCGCUGAGGCGGAGGAAGGAGGGGGCUACGGCAGGUCAGUAUGCCCCGAAACCCUCGGGCCACACGCGGGCUGCAAUGGUAAGGACAAUGGGUUUCAAUCCCGAAAGGGGGAGGCAAUCCGUAAACCUUACCACAGUUAUGAUUGAGGGCUGAAACUCGCCCUCAUGAAUAUGGAAUCCCUAGUAACCGCGUGUCAUCAUCGCGCGGUGAAUACGUCCCUGCUCCUUGCACACACCGCCCGUC
rnacentral:rRNA from 1 species